CAGUCGAGCGGUAACAGUCCUUCGGGAGCUGACGAGCGGCGGACGGGUGAGUAACGCGUAGGAAUCUACCCAGUAGAGGGGGAUAGCCCGGGGAAACCCGGAUUAAUACCGCAUAAUCUCUAUGGAGCAAAGGGGGCUUCGGCUCUUGCUACUGGAUGAGCCUGCGUGGGAUUAGCUAGUUGGUGAGGUAAAGGCUCACCAAGGCGACGAUCUCUAGCUGGUCUGAGAGGAUGAUCAGUCACACUGGAACUGAGACACGGUCCAGACUCCUACGGGAGGCAGCAGUGGGGAAUAUUGCACAAUGGGCGAAAGCCUGAUGCAGCCAUGCCGCGUGUGUGAAGAAGGCCUUAGGGUUGUAAAGCACUUUCAGUAGGGAGGAAGGCCAAGUAGUUAAUACCUGCUUGGAUUGACGUUACCUACAGAAGAAGCACCGGCUAACUCCGUGCCAGCAGCCGCGGUAAUACGGAGGGUGCGAGCGUUAAUCGGAAUUACUGGGCGUAAAGCGCGCGUAGGCGGUUUGUUAAGCGGAGUGUGAAAUCCCCGGGCUCAACCUGGGAACUGCACGCCGAACUGGCAGGCUAGAGUAUGAUAGAGGAGUGUGGAAUUUCCGGUGUAGCGGUGAAAUGCGUAGAGAUCGGAAGGAACAUCAGUGGCGAAGGCGGCACUCUGGAUUAAUACUGACGCUGAGGUGCGAAAGCGUGGGGAGCAAACAGGAUUAGAUACCCUGGUAGUCCACGCCGUAAACGAUGUCAACUAGCCGUUGGGGAACUUGAUUCCUUAGUGGCGCAGCUAACGCGAUAAGUUGACCGCCUGGGGAGUAC
rnacentral:rRNA from 1 species